UGCCUUACCUAAUGCUCCAGCGAUCACUAGGGAACAGAUUUCUCCUGCAGUAGACAACCUCCACCUAAGUGGCCAAGGCAGUAGUGACCUUCGUCCACGCAGCCAAAGCAGUCCUGACCUUCACUCACAUGGCCAUAGCAGUCCUGAUGUUAGCCCACAUGGCCAAAGCAGUCCUGACCUUCACCCAAGUUGCUACUACAGUCCUGACUUGUAUGCAGAUGGCCACAGCACUCCUGAGAUCUACUCAAGUCAGCAGACCAGCACUACUAUGCUAUCCUCAGGCUGGCAUGGUCUCUCUGAGAGCCGUUCAUCAAGUAAAUCGAGCACUGAGACCCUAUUAAGGCAUGCUAACGUUGAGGUCAGAAGACCAGCCCACAAAAGUAGGGAGAUCCAUAAAAAAAGGCACUCUGAAUCUUCAAGGCACCCUGAGCAACACCACACCAGGGACAUCCAGCAAACAUCCAGCCUCCAAAUUUUCCUUCUUCGUAAUAUACUAACAAAACAGGAAAUGCUGAUGGACCAACAGAGAAUUAUCUUUAAGACCCUCCAGUCUAUGCAAUCAAGUCAGGAGACGGAGAUAGGCCUGGAUCGAAAUUUGUUGCCACUCAAAGAUCUCGGUUCUCUUCAGAACAUGGAGGACAAUCUGCGGAGUACUCCUGACCUCCAUAAACAAAUGCUUUAAAGGAUAGUUCACCCAAAAAUCUAAAUCCUUGGUGUAUUCCUCCAUUCAGAUGAA